CCUACGGGGUGCAGCAGUGAGGAAUAUUGGUCAAUGGACGAGAGUCUGAACCAGCCAAGUAGCGUGAAGGAUGACUGCCCUAUGGGUUGUAAACUUCUUUUAUAAAGGAAUAAAACCAGGCACGUGUGCCUUUUUGCAUGUACUUUAUGAAUAAGGAUCGGCUAACUCCGUGCCAGCCGCCGCGGUAAUACGGAGGAUCCGAGCGUUAUCCGGAUUUAUUGGGUUUAAAGGGAGCGUAGAUGGGUUGUUAAGUCAGGUGUGAAAGUUUGCGGCGCAACCGUACAAUUGCAGUUGAUACUGGCAGUCUGGAGUACAGUAGAGGUAGGCGGAAUGCGUGGUGUAGCGGUGAAAUGCUUAGAUAUCACGCAGAACCCCGAUUGCGAAGGCAGCUUACUAAAGCGUGACUGACAUUGAUGCACGAAAGUGUGGGUAUCAAACAGGAUUAGAUACCCUAGUAGUC
rnacentral:rRNA from 1 species